GGCCUUAUACAUGCAAGUCGACGCGCAGCGAGAGGUGCUUGCACCUUUCAAGCGAGUGGCGAACGGGUGAGUAACACGUGGAUAACCUGCCUCAAGGCUGGGGAUAACAUUUGGAAACAGAUGCUAAUACCGAAUAAAACUUAGUAUCGCAUGAUAUCAAGUUAAAAGGCGCUACGGCGUCACCUAGAGAUGGAUCCGCGGUGCAUUAGUUAGUUGGUGGGGUAAAGGCUUACCAAGACAAUGAUGCAUAGCCGAGUUGAGAGACUGAUCGGCCACAUUGGGACUGAGACACGGCCCAAACUCCUACGGGAGGCUGCAGUAGGGAAUCUUCCACAAUGGGCGCAAGCCUGAUGGAGCAACGCCGCGUGUGUGAUGAAGGCUUUCGGGUCGUAAAGCACUGUUGUAUGGGAAGAAAUGCUAAAAUAGGGAAUGAUUUUAGUUUGACGGUACCAUACCAGAAAGGGACGGCUAAAUACGUGCCAGCAGCCGCGGUAAUACGUAUGUCCCGAGCGUUAUCCGGAUUUAUUGGGCGUAAAGCGAGCGCAGACGGUUGAUUAAGUCUGAUGUGAAAGCCCGGAGCUCAACUCCGGAAUGGCAUUGGAAACUGGUUAACUUGAGUGUUGUAGAGGUAAGUGGAACUCCAUGUGUAGCGGUGGAAUGCGUAGAUAUAUGGAAGAACACCAGUGGCGAAGGCGGCUUACUGGACAACAACUGACGUUGAGGCUCGAAAGUGUGGGUAGCAAACAGGAUUAGAUACCCUGGUAGUCCACACCGUAAACGAUGAAUACUAGGUGUUAGGAGGUUUCCGCCUCUUAGUGCCGAAGCUAACGCAUUAAGUAUUCCGCCUGGGGAGUACGACCGCAAGGUUGAAACUCAAAGGAAUUGACGGGGACCCGCACAAGCGGUGGAGCAUGUGGUUUAAUUCGAAGCAACGCGAAGAACCUUACCAGGUCUUGACAUCCUUUGAAGCUUUUAGAGAUAGAAGUGUUCUCUUCGGAGACAAAGUGACAGGUGGUGCAUGGUCGUCGUCAGCUCGUGUCGUGAGAUGUUGGGUUAAGUCCCGCAACGAGCGCAACCCUUAUUGUUAGUUGCCAGCAUUCAGUUGGGCACUCUAGCGAGACUGCCGGUGACAAACCGGAGGAAGGCGGGGACGACGUCAGAUCAUCAUGCCCCUUAUGACCUGGGCUACACACGUGCUACAAUGGCGUAUACAACGAGUUGCCAACCUGCGAAGGUGAGCUAAUCUCUUAAAGUACGUCUCAGUUCGGACUGCAGUCUGCAACUCGACUGCACGAAGUCGGAAUCGCUAGUAAUCGCGGAUCAGCACGCCGCGGUGAAUACGUUCCCGGGUCUUGUACACACCGCCCGUCACACCAUGGGAGUUUGUAAUGCCCAAAGCCGGUGGCCUAACCUUCGGGAGGGAGCCGUCUAAGGCAG
rnacentral:rRNA from 1 species